rnacentral:rRNA from 1 species
AAAAAAAAUGACAAGGUUUCCGUAGGUGAACCUGCGGAAGGAUCAUUG